GACGAACGCUGGCGGCGUGCUUAACACAUGCAAGUCGAACGGAAAGGCCCUGCUUUUGUGGGGUGCUCGAGUGGCGAACGGGUGAGUAACACGUGUGUAACCUGCCCUUGACUUUGGGAUAACUUCAGGAAACUGGGGCUAAUACCGGAUAGGAGCUCCUGCUGCAUGGUGGGGGUUGGAAAGUUUCGGCGGUUGGGGAUGGACUCGCGGCUUAUCAGCUUGUUGGUGGGGUUGUGGCUUACCAAGGCUUUGACGGGUAGCCGGCCUGAGAGGGUGACCGGCCACAUGGGGACUGAGAUACGGCCCAGACUCCUACGGGAGGCAGCAGGGGGGAAUAUUGCACAAUGGGCGGAAGCCUGAUGCAGCAACGCCGCGUGCGGGAUGACGGCCUUCGGGUUGUAAACCGCUUUCGCCUGUGACGAAGCGUGAGUGACGGUAAUGGGUAAAGAAGCACCGGCUAACUACGUG
rnacentral:rRNA from 1 species